rnacentral:rRNA from 1 species
AACGAACGCUGGCGGCAUGCCUAACACAUGCAAGUCGAACGAAGCCUUCGGGCUUAGUGGCGCACGGGUGCGUAACGCGUGGGAAUCUGCCCUUGGGUUCGGAAUAACAGUUAGAAAUGACUGCUAAUACCGGAUGAUGUCUUCGGACCAAAGAUUUAUCGCCCAAGGAUGAGCCCGCGUCGGAUUAGCUAGUUGGUGAGGUAAAGGCUCACCAAGGCGACGAUCCGUAGCUAGUCUGAGAGGAUGAUCAGCCACACUGGGACUGAGACACGGCCCAGACUCCUACGGGAGGCAGCAGUGGGGAAUAUUGGACAAUGGGCGAAAGCCUGAUCCAGCAAUGCCGCGUGAGUGAUGAAGGCCUUAGGGUUGUAAAGCUCUUUUACCCGGGAUGAUAAUGACAGUACCGGGAGAAUAAGCCCCGGCUAACUCCGUGCCAGCCGCCGCAGUAAUAC